rnacentral:rRNA from 1 species
AGUGAACGCUGGCGGUAGGCCUAACACAUGCAAGUCGAACGGCAGCACAGUAAGAGCUUGUUCUUACGGGUGGCGAGUGGCGGACAGGGGAGGAAUACCUGGGAAUCUACUUUUUCGUGGGGGAUAACGUAGGGAAACUUACGCUAAUACCGCAUACGACCUACGGGUGAAAGCAGGGGAUCUUCGGACCUUGCGCGAUUGAAUGAGCCGAUGUCGGAUUAGCUAGUUGGCGGGGUAAAGGCCCACCAAGGCGACGAUCCGUAGCUGGUCUGAGAGGAUGAUCAGCCACACUGGAACUGAGACACGGUCCAGACUCCUACGGGAGGCAGCAGUGGGGAAUAUUGGACAAUGGGCGAAAGCCUGAUCCAGCCAUACCGCGUGGGUGAAGAAGGCCUUCGGGUUGUAAAGCCCUUUUGUUUGGGAAGAAAAGCAGCAGGUUAAUACCCCGCUGUUCUGACGGUACCCAAAGAAUAAGCACCGGCUAACUUCGUG